UCAUCCUGGCUCCCUUAGGAAGGUGACACUCACUUGUGCUUUCUCUACCUAAUGGCUGGCAUGAGGAGAUGCCCUCAGAAGAUCUGGGUCGAGUCUCCAUCUCAUCCACGUGAUUGCACUUGAUGAUGGCUUAUCAUAAAGGGACUGCCUUAAGACAAUGAGUCUUACAGCUACUAAGGAUUUUCGAUUACAUCAGGGUCACAUGAAAUAAAGGAUAAACCUGGAAGAAAUCUCCAUCUCCAGUGGUGGACUCUUGCUGCUUAACACAUGGACCUCACAUCUGAGCCGGGAGGCAUAGAAGAAUGAACCUGCUUAAUUGAUCGUAAACCACAGCCCACACAGCGUCCUAGUGUAUUAGGAACAUUAUCAGCCUAAUACACAUGGCUGUCUUCACCCCUUCUGCUGAUGUCUUAACUAUGAGGAAUUUAAACCCCAGCUUUCAAUUACAAAUUGAGAGAGGAAGCCAGGGGCAGGGGAAGUGAGUAGAAGCCCAUCUCCCGAGAAGCUGGAAGCAUGAUCUGGUAAAUGACAGCCAGCCGGACGGGCCUCCAUUAAGCUAAUGAGAUGCUUGGAGUUAGAGAUGUGAACUGAGUUUCUAAAUGGCCUAAGUCCCGGGCAUUGGAGAAGACACCAGAUCAUUGUAAUGUUUCCUGUGGGGACUAGUGAUUUUAAAUAGACUCAUGAAGGCCACUGAUUCAAUUGACAAUAUAAUGAAAAGGAGAAAAAAAAAGUCAACUUAUAUUCGAAGGUACUUAGGGCUUCCACAAACAGAAAAAAGCCAUGGGUUUCUUCAGCUCCAAGUUCUGCUAGAAUUUAUCAGUUCCAGCUGGUAACAUGCUCAGAGAAAGGAAGGGGUAUGUUUCACUGUAGAGGGGGCAGAGCAAAGGGCAGGACCACUAUGGGGAAAGCACUUUGUCUUAAAAAAAAAUGUUAGUUCUUUGAGAAUUUCAUGCAGUGUGAUUUGAUCAUAUUCAUCCCAUCAUCCCC